GGAGCUCCUCCCGGCGACUUCCCAGGCCACCUCCCCGAGAUACUGCCGCCGGCGACGUAUCCGACCUCCUGCCGCGGGCCACCAUUCUGACCUGCCGCUGCCGUCGUCAUCUCAACAAGUUAUGCAUAGCCUGCAGUGCUGAAACCAUGGAGAAAAAGACGGUGACUUCCGGCCAUCCCAGAACACCUGCCAUCGGUGACGUCCCUGACAAGCUGCUGCCCUUCACCUCCCCAACAAGCUACUAAUGGGCAAAAUGGACCGGUCGGUCUAAUCGGUGGAGAUAAUGUGCAAGUUCUCAGAGCAGUACGCCAGCUGGUCCCGUACCUCCACCGCCGCCAACGUUGUUGCUGUCAAGAUCCUGUUUCUCCCGGAGCUGAUGUUGCCGACGGCCACGUUCUCGGGCUCAUGCUGACGGCAACGGCCACCUCCCCAGCAAGCUACUCCUGUCCAUGUUUACUGCACAUUCUGCAUGGGAUGCAUCAAGGCGGCCAGGUGGCUGGCAAUUUUGAGUAUGGUCGAGUGGGUAGCAUCGAUGCGGAGCAGCAGAAGUCUCCUUUGUCCGUGCCUAGCAGCAGGAUGGUAGCAAGGUGCUCAGGUUGCAGCCUUCAUCCAAGAAGAAACGGAAAAAUUCGUUCUUCUCUCUUUCCGUAAGCACAAUUUGAGUGGAACACACACACAAACCAAUUGAAAAUCAGAUUGAUUGUUGUGUUUGGUUGCCAGCAAGUAGGACAUCCGGUCGGAUGGCGUUCUGAAGAUGUUGACGGGCAGAUGUUGGCUCCUCAUUCUGAAUUCUUUUCUCGAACAGAACAAACUUCUUUUUAAUUUAUAAUUCUGAAUGUUGAAUGCUGAUUGAGGGUGUGCUGCAACUCGAUACUGGAUAGUUUACCUGUUUACCCUAGUUUGGUAUGUAGAAUGGUGCUUUUAACUAUGUUUUGCUGUAACCUGGAGUUAGUCUUGUAUUUCUUGAUUUGCCUGGUAAGUGUAUAUAGCAGUAGCAUUAACAAAAAUCCAAUAUCUGCAUGUCAUGUCUAUGUUAAUUACUAGUGUGUUGUACCAAGUCAAAGCGGCCUUGUUAUAUUCUGUAGUCGACCUUUAUAUUGUUACUUUGGUGCAUACACUUUUGAACACACUAGUUGGUUCACUCUGCUAUAAAUAAAUCAUGAAAAAUUAGUAUGAUAACAUUUGUAACAUUCUCUGGCUGUGUUUUCUUUGACGUAUUAAAUGAUUGACCGGACUAAAAUUAUGUUGGUUGCUGAUCCAUGUAUUCCUGGUCUCUUUCUAUAUAUUGCAACUAACAAUGUUGGGCUACGGAGUACAAAGUUCAACUAUUAUUUAUUAGACCAAACUCUGAACCGUCUAUGAAAUGCACAAGAAAUCUUGCGAAAAAUGUUUCCUUUUGCAUAGGCAGUAGAGAAAGUGUGCAUGUAUUGGUAGAUGAAAAUUCAUUUCACUAAAGCAAAGCCUCUUGUUUGGAUAUGCAGGUCCAUGUUUGCUGCACAAUCUGCAUGGCAUGCAUCAAGGCGGCCAGGUGGCCGUCAAUUUCGAGCAGGGUCCAGAGGGUAGCAUGGAUGCGGAGGCAGACGUCCUCCUUUAUCCGUGUGUAGCAGCUUGCCGAUAGCGAGGUACUCAGGUCACAGCCUUAAUCCAAGAAG